UAGCAUAUCAAUAAGCGGAGGAAAAGAAACCAACAGGGAUUGCCCUAGUAACGGCGAGUGAAGCGGCAACAGCUCAAAUUUGAAAUCUGGCCCUCGGGUCCGAGUUGUAAUUUGCAGAGGACGCUUUUGGCGCGGUGCCUUCCGAGUUCCCUGGAACGGGACGCCUUAGAGGGUGAGAGCCCCGUACGGUUGGACACCAAGCCUAUGUAAAGCCCCUUCGACGAGUCGAGUAGUUUGGGAAUGCUGCUCUAAAUGGGAGGUAAAUUUCUUCUAAAGCUAAAUAUUGGCCAGAGACCGAUAGCGCACAAGUAGAGUGAUCGAAAGAUGAAAAGCACUUUGAAAAGAGGGUUAAAUAGCACGUGAAAUUGUUGAAAGGGAAGCGUUUGCGACCAGACCUUUUCCCGGCGGAUCAUCCGGUGUUCUCACCGGUGCACUUCGCCGGGUCAAGGCCAGCAUCGGUUUCCGCGGGGGGACAAAAGCUUGGGGAACGUAGCUUCUUCGGAAGUGUUAUAGCCCCUUGCAUAAUACCCCCGGGGGGACCGAGGACCGCGCUUCGGCAAGGAUGCUGGCGUAAUGGUCGUCAACGACCCGUCUUGAAACACGGACCAAGGAGUCGAACAUUUGUGCGAGUGUUUGGGUGUUAAACCCUUGCGCGUAAUGAAAGUGAACGGAGGUGAGAGCCCUUACGGGUGCAUCAUCGACCGAUCCUGAUGUCUUCGGAUGGAUUUGAGUAAGAGCAUAAACGUUCGGACCCGAAAGAUGGUGAACUAUGCGUGGAUAGGGUGAAGCCAGAGGAAACUCUGGUGGAGGCUCGCAGCGGUUCUGACGUGCAAAUCGAUCGUCAAAUCUGCGCAUGGGGGCGAAAGACUUAUCGAACCAUCUAGUAGCUGGUUACCGCCGAU
rnacentral:rRNA from 1 species